rnacentral:rRNA from 1 species
UACGUAGGGGGCAAGCGUUGUCCGGAUUUACUGGGCGUAAAGGGCGCGUAGGCGGCCACCGCAAGUCGACUGUGAAAUCUCCGGGCUUAACCCGGAAAGGUCAGCCGAUACUGCGGGGCUAGAGUGCAGAAGGGGCAACUGGAAUUCUCGGUGUAGCGGUGAAAUGCGUAGAUAUCGGAAGGAACAUCAGUGGCGAAAGCGGCUUCCUGGACCAGUACCGACGUCAGGCACGAAAGCGUGGGGAGCAAACAGGA